GCGGGCUCGGGCGCGCCGUGUGCGGACUCCGGGCGCGUUAGGUGCGGGGGCACUGCCUGGCAGAUUGCGGGACGGGGGAUCGGAAACCGCUAGUGGGACGGGGCGACCCGGCUCAGGCCGCGGUGGCUGGGAAGGACGGAUAAGGGGCAUCUGGGAGGCAGCGGGCCACGAAGGUGGCCACAGAGAGGGAGUGUGUGGCUGCUUCCCAUUGCCUGCCCUCUGGGUGCGUCCUCCAGAGCCCGGGCUGCAAACUGCCCCCUCUCUUCUGGAAGAGACUGCUGAGUGCCCCCACGCAACGGAUACGCACGCUGAAUGUGCUGCCCUUAUGGGUGUCGGGGGCAGUUCUAGGUGGAAUAGGGUGGGGUUGGGGUCGCCCACCGAUCAAGGGGGCGCCUGGCCUGGGGAUCUUAGGGGAAAGGAUGGGCGUUCUCUCAGGUAAAUUACUCUCGCAGAGGCCGUUUUCUUUCCCGAGGCACCUUCAGUUUUGCGUUGGGCCAGCAACCUCUGACAAAGGUUCCGGGCUGAGGGUGCUCGCAUGCUUCAGCACCUGAGCGGAUUGCCCUGCGCGUGUAGGAUCUCGGCAGAGGGACCUGGGCCCGCGCGGCAGGGCUGUGCAGAAAAACACGUUCUUCUUUCCCGGGACAGCGGGGACCGUGUGACCUCCCUGAAAGUGGAUGAGGAAGAGGAAGCUGCCCCGGCACGGGUCGGGGCCAGCCUUGGGCAGCCCUCGGGAGUCAGGCAUUCCGCCCCAGCCCGGGAGCCCCAGCGCACAGGGGCUGAUGAAACCUGCCUGCGCGUUUGCAUGAUGAAAUCCUCGUGGCUCACCACUUCCCUCCCUUCCUCGCGCUGCCCUCACCCAUUCUGCCCUUCUUCCCUCCCCUCCACCUUCCUCCACGGCUCCUUCCCAAACUUCCCGAAGGCCCGGCCGCAGAUCCUGGCGCUCAGCGGCGCAGAGCGGGGGCGGGCGGGGCCGCUGCCUCUCCUGCGAGCAUCAGGGGCCACAUGCUUGUUUUCUCAGGCUGCUGACCCACCGCCAGCGUGGACAGCCAGAUCCGAGGUCUUGGGCGGUCUCAUCCAAAACAUACAACGUUAGCACUGUUAGGGAAUCUUAGAUGUUCUUGUCCAGCCGUGCCACCUCAUUCUACAGAAAGUGGACUGAGGUCCCAAACUUAAUAACACGUGUCUAUUGUCCAGUGACACACCGUUUUCCCAGAUUGAACAAGAAAUAGCAGCCAAGCAUUGAGGGGAGAAAUGAUCUCUUAAAACAAUCCAAGGAAAAAUUCCCAGCGACUCUUCCUACCACCCUUGACUCAAAUUCUCUUUCCCUGCUGGCCUUUUGCUUUCUCUGUGUCAUGAUGUGUCUACUAGGACCUUCCCUGACAAUGUUAGGGUUCCUUCAGGUGAGAGUGUGAAUCUCUGCCUGAUGUGUUCAGGGUGGGCACUGAGACAGGCCUGAAGGCCCUUUUUGGGGCCCUCUGUUGCUAGAUCCCUGGGGACCCAUCAGAUUGGAAUCAGCAGCCAGGGGCAGUGUUUAUAAGGAACUCUUACCCACUUCUCGCUUUGGACUGGAAAGUGUGUUUUUUUCCCAGACCACAGCGAGUCUCCCUCUCUUUGCAGUUCUUUAAGUUCUGAGAGAGGGGAACAGGACUCUGCGUCAGAGUGUACCUUGGUUUCUCAGGGCAGCUGGAAGGAACUGACUGAGCAGCACCAGGAACCUAAAGCCAGCCCUUGUCUGGGGUGUCCUGUGGGGCGGGCACAGCUCCCAAUCCUAACCCAGAGAAUCCUGGCUGGUUUCUGCCAAAGUCAGCCAGUCUGGCCUGCCUCAGUUAGCCAAGGCCUGGAGUCUUCCUCCUGAGCCCUCCUCUGCCAGGGCAAAGAAGCUUGACAUGAGAAAAGGUCAUCCUGCACACCCCUUUUGCUCCAGUCUAGAGUGCGGUUCGUACACCUGCAGUGUGCCUGCAGAUUACCUAGGCACCUCAUUUAAAUGCAAGUUCCGGUUCUCUAGGUUCUGGGUAGAGACUGAGUCUGCAUUUCUAACUAGCUCCCAGCAACUUGUCUAAGUGCCACACUCUGAGUACUCAGGAAUUAGUGGAAUGUGAUGUCCCUUCCCUUUUCAGACCUCUGGGGGCCAGCAGAAAGUGAUGUUUCUAUCCAGGUAAAUUCUUGAGGGUGGUUUUGCAUCAGCCUUUAAACCAGGGUCUGGACAGAGUGUCGGAAGAGGAGACCUGUGCUUUUUUAUUGGCAGGAGGUGUCAAAGCUAGUGGAGUGUGUCCAGUGGUCACUCUUGCUGGGAAUGGCCCUGCAGUGUUUGUCCCUGGAGGGAAAGGAGCAGCAGUUAAUUUGAGCCAUGUCCAUUCCUGUGAUUCCAGUUUACUCAUCAAAGCCUCUGUAGGCUGAGCCCCGACCUGAUCUUAGACAUCUGGAGCACCUUAGAGAAACUUGCUGGAGGGAGUGUUGUGUAGGAACAGUUGAGUCUGUAGAGUCCCCAGGGACAUCAUGAACUAGGAGAACCCCUGAAUGAGUCAGAAACAUUUCUCUGCCCUGGCUGCAGGCCCCAUCAACCUCCACAUUCCCUGUUGCAUGGUGGAUGUUUGACCCCAGCGCCUACCGGGGUCGUGUGGAUGGUAAGUCCUACCUAAGCCCUGUACCUGGAUAUGGUUAAACAGAGGUAGGCAGGUAGGGCUACAGGUGUUAGUGGUACUUUGUUUAGUUAGACAAACAAAGCCUGUGCCCAGGAAGCUUACCUUGGAGCAACUCCCAAGUCUUGGGCUGUGGGACAUACAGUGCUGGGAAGAGGGGGGAGGUGAGCUGGGUCCUGAAGCCAGAGCGCAGCAGGGCCUCCAGACCCGGGUCACGUGGGGCAGGGAGGCUACGCCUCAUGGAGUUGUGUCUAUAGCGACUAUGAUAAGACCAGCAGUCUCAUGAUUAAAGGCAGGCCAAAAGAACUUAUAAAGGUGGGGGGAAAAUAAAAAUGUUAAUAGAAGAAAAGCACCCAGAACUUGGACAUUAAGGCAAUGAAGGGAAUAUAAUUAGUUCUCUUUUCACACUGAUCUCAUCUUCCUUUUAAAGCACUUAGAAAAUUCCACACUGUGUUCCUCAUUAAAGACUUUGAGGGGUUGGGGCCCUGGUAUAGAGCACCCCAAACUCUUCUCCAAUGCUCACAAGCCAUGAAGACAUACUUGAAAUCGAAUUGUAAACAUCAAAGUCAUAUCUGUAGAAUGAAGCGGUUGGACAGCCAGCCCCCUCCCACCCCGUAUCCACUAGACGCGUAGGAUGCUCAGGUGGGCAUUGCCUGCUCCGAGUAGUCAGCCUGGGAAGGCCUGCAUUCUAAUAAUGCAGGAGUAGCUGUUAGAUUUUAAUUGCCUUCAGGGGCUUGCUUUUUUUUUUCUUUAUCUCAAUAUCCUCAAAGGUGGCAGGGCCUUAUUAGAAAGAGGCAUUUGAUUUUUUUAUUUUCCUGAAAGAGCAAAAAGUCCUUCAUUACCAAAUUUGGUGAGAUGACAGGCAGGGUAGCACCAUAUUUAUCUGUUGGUAUCAUGUAGUGAAGUGUUUUCUUAUAUGGGGUUUUAUUUGAUGUCAUUCCAGAAACAGCAGUAUUGAAAAAAGGGUUGCUUCCCAAGGGGCCAGUUUUAACGGAAAAUGUUCAUUGGUACACUUGGAUUUUGCAUUUUCAAACAAAUGAAACACGUGUUACUUGCUGGGCUUGCCAGGUCCCAGACAGUGUUCUUCCUCCGUUAUGAUUCAUAGCAAAUGAGUCACGUGUAUUUGUUGAUAUAUUUGCCCCUGGGUUAGGCAGGACCUUCUCUCAGAGCGGGGUUACUCAUCUUUGUAUUGCCACCAUUGAAUGCCUGUUCUGUGUUCAAAGGUGAGGAGUUGAAAAGAAUUUAGAAAUGGCAGCAUUCUCAGGGUAACCUAGUUUCUUCACCACCAGGCCUGGGUCUGAGCCGGCUCAAUGAUAAUGUUAAAUUUUAUUUUCUGUCCUUUCAGUUACAGGGUAUAAUUGUUUACCUUGGAAAGUCCCAGGGGCAGGAAUUAACUUUCUCUGAACUUUCCUACUUAUCCCAGGAUUACAGAUAAUAGCAUUACUGACUUUCUCAAUUAUUAUUGAGCAGAAAGUAGAAGGAAGUGGCUUUUUUAUACAGAACAAAUCCAUAUUGGGACCGGGGUCUCAGACAGUGGGAUUGCUGCUCCUCAUUGACUUUUGCACCAGCACCGCUACCGAGUCAGGAGUAGGUGACAUCUGCCCAUGGUGUUUGCAUGCUCAGGAGCAUGGGCAGUAGAAAGUUUCUUGUAAUCCAAUGUCUUUGCCUGUGAAAGUUCACUGAGAGAGCUCAGGUGUGAGACCGUGUAUCAGAGCUCACCAGCUGCUCAGAAAUACUUGGCUUGAUGAGAAUGGCUGUAUCGGUUAGCUAUUGCUGUGUCACAAGGUAACACAAAACUUAAUGACUGCAACCACAAUCAUCUGUUAUUUUUCUCCAUUCUUUGGACCUGUUGGACAUUUUUUGAUGAUCUGGUACUGAGCUCACUCAUCUGGCUGCAUGCAGUUGGCAGCUGGAUUGCCCUGGGCUAGAAGGUCCAAGACGACUUUACCCCCACGUCUGGGGUAUUGCUGGGGGCACCUGGAAGGCUGGGGACUCUCUCUGCCCUCUUGGUCUCAUGCCGUUCAGGAGUCUAACCUGAGUUAUUUUUAGGCAGUAUUCAAGGCCUCUGAAGGGCUUGGCCCAGAAGACACAUAGGGUCACUUAUGCAGUAUUCUGUGGUCAAAACAAGCCAUGGAGGCUAGCCCAGAUUCAAAGAGAGAGGACAUAACUGCCUUUGAAUGGGAGAAGCUGCGGGUGGGAACAGGGACAGGAGGAAUUAUGGGGCCCUGUUUCCAGACAAUCCUCCACAAGGGCCAAGCCUCAAAGGACGGUCCUUUGGGGGAAUGUAACUGCCCACCCGGCUGUGUGGCCAGCAGAGCCAAGACCAGGGGUAAAAGCAGACUGGAAUCACAAGCCUGUGACCGGACUGUUGGUUUAAGAUCAGAGGACACCUUCCUGAAACCACUGAAUCAGAUCCCAUGCCCCAUUUUGAGGCCUUACGUCCAGCUCCACAGAGCAAGCCAUGCACAUGGCCAUGUUGCCAGGCCACUGGGCCACACAUUCUGCUCGUGAUAUGCCUCCCUUUGCUGAAUGCCACCCAGCCCAUCUCCUCAUUCUGCUUCAAUCAGCCGAGCUUUGGGAACACCUUUCCGAGGAGGGCACGCUUGCUCUGCUCUGCCCAGCACUCCCGUUUGAACACCCCCAAUUUUCUGGAGUGCUGGCAGUGGAUGCAGUCACAUUUUCUGAGCCCAGUGGUGCAAAAGUGGGUAGGAGGGAGAAUACCAGGGGGUACAGGCCGACCCAGAACUCCCUUUGGCUUCCUGGUGACGCAUACAGUGUGCUCUUGCCUUAGAGUGUGUGUGUGUAAAUGGAUUUCUCUCUGAUGCUCUCAAGAAUAAAAGUGGGCCUAUACUAAUUUGCUAGGUUUAGCAUAAAAAAGCACCCCAGUCUUUGGGUAGCUUCAACAAGAGAAACUUAUUUUCUCUCAUUUCUGGAAGCUGAAAAUCCAAGAUCAUGGGACUAAGCAGGGUUGAGGCCCCAUCUGAGGCCCCUCUCCUUGGUUUGCACACGGCCACCCUCUUGCUGCCUCUGCUGCUAUCUGUUGUAUCCUGUCUUAGAAGGACACCAGCGUAUGAGAGCAGGUCCCACCCCAACAGCCUCCUUCUGACUUCAUGGCCUCUUUAGAGAGACCUUAUUGCCAAAUACGGUUACAUUGAGGUACAGGGGAUUGGGCCUUCAACACACAUUUGGGGGAAUAGAGUUCACAGAAAAGAAAGGGGCCCCCCACUUUCCAACCAAAUGUCUCUGUGAUAGCCUUGGCCCUCCUGCUUAAUUUUGAAAUACACUGGCCUGUUCCCCCACAUAUCAGGGCCUCGAAGGGAGAGACUAUCCAGAUGGACCCUCUGCCACUUGCUGAUCACUCCCAUUUGGUAUUCCAAGAGCUUCCUGAGAUUCCUGGUUGCUGAGAAACAUCCAGAUAUUGGUUCUCUUUGCAGAGCCAAAGGGGGCCAGAGUGGAAGAAAAGUCUCGAACCGAGCACACCGUUUCUCUCCCCAAGAUUUCCUCCAUGAGAACUUGGCUCUGGCUGCUGGACAGACUGCCUGUCAAGAAAAGCCGUCAGAUCCUAGUAGUGCCUGCCUGGUGUGUGGGGUGGCCCGGGAGACCCCUGCCAGGCCCUGUGGGUCUGCCCCCCAGGUCAAUACAGAGCUGCUAGUGAGAGCUGGAUUUAAAAUAACCCGGAGUAUUUUGUGCACAGGCCGCUGGCUUGCAUCUAAGCCCGAGUCCAGCUCCCCUUCCCCCUUCCCCCGUUGUGAAAUGCUCUCUCUUUCCCUGGAAUGGGAGCAGCCGUUCUAGGAAUUCUGUUCUUGUCCUCUUGCUGGGCCUCAGGUCUCACACUCAGGGAAGCGGGCUUCUGCCAGGGGAGGCCCAGGGGAAAGAAAGUGAGGGGUGAACGCAGCUCAGUUUACAGAAGGCCCGUCCAGCAGCACUUUGAACCUGCACGUGGGUUCUGCGGGGAAAUGGAGAAGAAACCAAGGCAGGCAUCUCCCAGGGAACAUCCUGUCCUGGCCAGACACUCAGGAGAAUAGGUAAAAGCCUGAAGCCCCUGGGAUUCUUCUAGCUGGCCUUGCUGGCUGAGGCACAUUAGCCCCAUCUGCCUUACUAAUUUCUUUCCUUUUUUUUUUUUCCUUGCUAAUUUUAAACAGAGGUUGGUGUUUAGGAUUGGAGGCAGGACAGGGUAGGGCUGACUCUGCAGGGCUGUGAGGGGACAGCCUUUCUGAGCCUCAGUUCCUGUCUGUAAGGAUGAAGACCUCUGGAAACUGGUUGCCCAACACUGUGAAUGCACUGAACCCUGCUGAACUGUACACUCAGAAACCCUUCAGAUGGGAAAUUUUAUGUUAUUUUUAUUUUGCCAUGAUU